rnacentral:lncRNA from 1 species
UGGGGAUCAAUGCAGAGCAAUGGGCAGGGCAUGUGUUUAGGCAUCAGACUGACCUAGCAUUUAAUCUCAGCUCAGUCAGGCUUCCAGCUCUGGGAGAGUCCACCACUCCUUGUUUUCCUACCCUGCUCUUUGCCACAUGCGGCCCCAUCAGAGGUCUAGGUUUACACACCUUGGUUGAGCCUGUGGGUUUAAAAAUCAGAGUUCUCACUUUGUCUAUCCCAGCCAAACAUCUGCAGCACGAAAGCUGCUCUGUGCACUGAAAGUGACAUGAAAUUUAUCUCACGUUACCCUUUUCCAGGACCGUAUCAGUAGGAGGGUGGGGCUGUCAGGGACAGAUGCACAGGCACUGGGGACCUUGGAACAGGGGCUCGUGGGCGUUAGACAUGAAUCUCCAGAAUAAGUAGGUUCCUGGCAUCUGUUCUGCCUAGCUCCGCACCACCCACUGCUCCUGGGCACGGCUUCAGCAGGUGGGAGGUGUCUCCCCCUGCCCACAGGGGUAUCCCUUGCAUGGAGAGACAGAGAGGUAAUUACAGAAAAACUGAAAUGCACAUUGGCAUUAGCAGAGUUGCGGGGCAGUUCCCUUCUGAAACGCAUUCAUUCCUGUACUUUCUGCUUUAUAAUAAACACAUAGCCCUUUGGAAAUUAGAACAAAGGGACUAAAGGUCUAAACAAGGACAAUGUAGUACACAAAACAAUGAGACAUAGGAAGGGACAGACGUAAGAUAUGACAGCAGAGUGAGGGAUUUGCCUCUGCUGACGUCAGGAGAGGCUUAGGAAAGAAAAGAGGAUGAUCAUAGCUUCUCAGGCAGCCAGGAGGAAAAUGCUUCCUGGCAGGCACCUGGACACCAGGAGCGUAGUCUCCACGCACGAGACAGGGCGGCAUGGGCUGGGAACUAGGAUUAGCUCAGGGUUGCUGAAAUGCCAAGGGAGGCAGGGCAGGAAGUGAGGAAGAAGAGAUCAGGGCCUCAUUGUAGAAGUCAUAUGUGCCAGCUUCAAUUUGUAUCCCGAAGGGAGUAAUAAAAGGUAAUUAAGCCAGGGCCUGACCCAAG